UAGCACGCUUGUAAAUCUGAUGCACAAGCGACAUCCGUAAACAACAACGAUGGACGACGAAGCCGCUUCUCUUGGUCCACUGAGGGACUUUCGCUUUAAAAAACGUCCUGAUGGGACUUUCCAAAAGACUGCUGUUGUAUGCAAGUUGUGCAAAAAGGCGUUUGCUGCUCACCGAAGCUACUCAAGCCUAAAAUACCAUCUCAAUGCCAAACAUGUCGCGGCGAGCGGAGCCGCCCCCGCAGCUGCUUUCAGCGGUAAAUAACCGGCCCAGCCGGCCCGCACUGGACCAGGCGACCGGGUUCAGGGCCGAAAUAAGGAAGUCUGGGUCUGAAACAACUCCCCGGCUAAAUGGAUCGCAGCAGACUGCAGACCGCUGUCGGUGGUCGAGGACAGGGGGCUACAGUCUGUGUUAGACCGCGACACCGGACCUGCUCACGAACUCCCGUGUAGGAAAACCAUGGCGAGGAAGAUCAGGCAGCUUAAUGGAGACGAAAAGCAGCCAAAACACGACCUGCUGAAUGCAGGUGAUCGCAUCUUUCGCCUUCACUGUAGAGAAAGCCAACAACAGACAUCAUGCAGGAAACUGCGCAGACCUUUUUUCUGUAGUUCUGGAAAAUUGAGCUAAAUGUGACAACAAUUGGCGCCGAUUGUGCAGAAACAUGAUGGCAGCAGCGAGACGGCUCCCAUUUCAGCAGAUGCCGUGUGCUGCGCAUGUUAGUCAGAGAUCCGUCACUGUGCGCCUGGACAGUUGUGGAUUUAAUGAUGUUCCAGCAAAGUGCCGCAAGAUUGUGGGUCAUUUCAGACGCAGUCCAGCCACCACAGUGGAACUGUAUAAAGAGUAAAGGGCACCAGGAAAAUGACCCCUAAUCCAGGAUGUUUCCACAAGGUGUUCCACACUGUUUAUGAUCCGUCGUCUUGGAAACAGCCGUCUUUGAACCAUGCAGACAUGUGACUGAUCUUCUUGGUGGAGAGACUUGCGUCUCAUGUUCUGCAGUCUUGCCUGUCCUGUGAUUCCUGGACCACACUAUGAAGGUCUCUGAUGAGGAUUCUGCCUACAUUGUGAAAUUCAAGACCGCCUUCAUGAAGGACAAGAGACAAGUUAUUUUAUUUGUACAAAAAAAUUUUUGUAAUUAAUUGCGAUUAAUUAAUUUCAGACCCUGUAAUUAAUGCGAUUCACAUUUUUUAUCAAGUCCCAUCACUAGUAUGAACAUCUUUGUUUUUUGUAACUCAGACUCUUCAAUUAACUAAAUUGAAAGGUGCAAAGGUGCUGGACAGCACUGGGGGAAAAUCCAGGAAAUUCCAUGACUUUUACUGGACUUAUUUUCUGGAACUUUUCAAGGCCUGGAAAAAUGAAUUUCUAUGUAUAUUCCAUGAUUUUUCCAGGAGAGUAUGAACCCUGUAUGGCCCGGAAAGGAUGUGUAUCUGUCAAGAAGCCCUUCCUGAGAAGGGAAUAACACAAAAAUGUGCAUAAUAAAGAAUCUGAUUGUUUUGCUGGAAAUUAGGACAUGCAUGGCAGUUUAGGUUUUUAAUGAUUGUGCUGUGGGUUUGUGUAGCAUGUGGUGAGUACUCUACUCUUUGGGUGUUGAGCAACGUAUAUGCAUUGUGUUCUUGAUGGAGCCUGGCUAGAACACACUUUUCACACUAGAGAAGAUUUCACUUUUAACAAAACACACUUCUGCACAUUUUCUGCACUUUUGCUGUUUAUUUGCUGAGAGUAACAUAUUGGGUUAAAAAAAUAAAAGUCCAUAGCUUUUGCACAGGCCAUGUUUUAUAUUUUAUAUUCUCCCUACACCCCCCAAAUAUCUUAGACUCAGCAAAUAAAUUUCAGCACUACAAUCUGCAGAAAACGUCUCAUUUUAGUUUGUUCCCAGUAUAGAAUGUGUUAUUUACACAUUGAAAAUAAUAAUAAUAAUUAGACCAGAAGCAUUCAAGCUUUCUCAUACUACUGCAUACAUUCAUACAUAAUUAUCAUACUUAUGUUUAAUUAUUCAAACAAGUUGCUUGUGAACACAGACUCUGUUAGGACAAAUAGUAAGUGAAAUGAGACAGAAACACAAUAUGUUAUGUUGUACCUUAUUAACAUCAUAUGGUCAUUUCAAAUUUAAUGCAUGCAACAUGUUCCAAAAAGGUUGGCACAGGAGUGUGUCUACCACUAUGUUACAGAACUUUCCUUUUAACAACACUUAAUAAAACGUUUGGGGGCCGAAGA